GACGCCGCAGCCUUGGCCCGCUGCGGGGGAGGGCCGAGAAGGGCACUGGGCGCCCAGAGUAACCAACACCGAGACGAAUAGCGAGGGCUCGGGGAGAAAAAACGGAGGAUGGCAAACGGCAAAGCCAAGGGCACGAGGUAGCGCAGCGCGCACCCAGAGGCUCCUGGGACGGACACCACCCCACGCUCACGGGUCCUCUGGCGGUGUCCUUUGAGCUGCCGGGACGGCGCAAGAAACCUGUUUAUGCACCCUCCUGCAAUCCCACCACCUGCCCAGGCCAAGUGAGCCCCUCUCCGCUACUGGUGUUUCAUAAUGCUGGGAGCUACUUUGAUUUCAUGCAUUGCCCUUCAGCUGCCAUGUUAUGAGGACACUUGGAGAAAGCUACAGGAGAGGAACUGAGGUCUCCUGCCAUCAGCCACUUGAGUGAGCAUGGGAGUGGAUUCUCCAAACUCCAGUUAAGACUUGAGAUGUCCACAGUGGCAGCCACUAGCUUGACUGCAACUUACGAGAGACCCUGAGCCAGAGGCACUCAGUUAAGUCAUACACAGUUUCCUGACCCGUAAAACCUGUGACACAAUGAAGGUUUGUUGUUUUGGGGGUAAUCCGUUAUUCAGCAAUAGAUAACGAAUACAGAAGGCUUGUAAUUGUAUAACCAACGUGAGUUUAUAAGCGGAUAUCUGACCUCAUUUGUUUUCUCCUGAAAAAGUUAUAGAAAAAUCACAAGACUGCAAGUCACUCUCUCUCUUUCUUUUGUGGGGAAUAAACAAGUAUAAUUACAAUUUCUAAACCUAUUGUUUUAUUCUCAAAUAUAAUUACAAUUUAAACAGGAUAUUGUAGAGCUCCAUCAUAGGGAUUAACACUAAUUAGAAUUAAAGAACGUUUUUGUGAAAGUCAGCUUUUUUUUUUUAAAUAAACACUCGUCCCUUGAUAAUGUAUUUCUUUUUCAUAAAAUUAAAAAAAAAAUGUGGGUUGUAGUAGGUGUAUAUAUUUAUGUGGUACAUGAGAUGUUUUGAUACAGGCAUGACGUGUAAUAAUCACAUCAUGGAAGAUGGCGUAUCCAUCCCCUCAAGCAUUUAUCCUUUGUGUUACAAACAAUCCAGUUACACUCUUUUUGUUAUUUAAAAAUGUACAAUUAAAUUAUUAUUGGCUAUAGUCACCCUGUUGUGCUAUCAAAUAUUAGGUCUUAUUCAUUCAUUUAACUAUUUUUUUGUACCUAUUUAUCAUCCCCAUCCCCGGUUCCCUCCCACCACCCACCCCACUACCCUUCCCGGCCUCUGGUAACCAUCCUUCUACUCUCUAGCUCCAUGAGCUCCAUUGUUUUGAUUUUUAGCUCCCACAAAUAAAUG
rnacentral:lncRNA from 1 species